rnacentral:lncRNA from 1 species
CGAUAUAAGCCCCCGCGUUCGCAGAUGUUCUGACCGCGGGAAACGUAUCAUCGACCGCGGUCGCGUGAUCCUGACCGCGGCCAAGCACCUGUUUGCCGCGGUCACGUGACUCCUGACUGCGGCAAUUGGUCGUUGAGAUCAAACCCGACCCCAAACCACCCACUUCAUCUCAUUUCACCUCACCAAUCCCCAGUCCACCUCAUUCAUCACCCUCCACCACCUUCAU